rnacentral:rRNA from 1 species
GAUGAACGCUAGCUACAGGCUUAACACAUGCAAGUCGAGGGGCAGCAUGAACUUAGCUUGCUAAGUUUGAUGGCGACCAGCGCACGGGUGAGUAACACGUAUCCAACCUUCCGUUUACUCAGGGAUAGCCUUUCGAAAGAAAGAUUAAUACCUGAUAGUAUGGUGAGAUUGCAUGAUAGCACCAUUAAAGAUUUAUUGGUAAACGAUGGGGAUGCGUUCCAUUAGGUAGUAGGCGGGGUAACGGCCCACCAAACCAACGAUGGAUAGGGGUUCUGAGAGGAAGGUCCCCCCACAUUGGAACUGAGACACGGUCCAAACUCCUACGGGAGGCAGCAGUGAGGAAUAUUGGUCAAAUGGACGAGAGUCUGAACCAGCCAAGUAGCGUGAAGGAUGACUGCCCUAUGGGUUGUAAACUUCUUUUAUACGGGAAUAAAGUUAGCCACGUGUGGCUUUUUGUAUGUACCGUAUGAAUAAGGAUCGGCUAACUCCGUGCCAGCAGCCGCGGU